UACGGAGGGUGCAAGCGUUAUCCGGAAUCACUGGGUUUAAAGGGUGCGUAGGCGGCGCUAUAAGUCAGAGGUGAAAGGCCACAGCUUAACUGUGGGACUGCCUUUGAUACUGUAGUGCUUGAAUUAGGCUGAGGUCGGCGGAAUGUGACAUGUAGCGGUGAAAUGCUUAGAUAUGUCAUAGAACACCAAUUGCGAAGGCAGCUGACUAGACCUUAAUUGACGCUGAGGCACGAAAGCGUGGGGAGCGAACAGG
rnacentral:rRNA from 1 species